rnacentral:rRNA from 1 species
CUACGGGGGGCUGCAGGCGAGAAAACUUUGCAAUGUGCGAAAGCACGACAAGGUUAAUCCGAGUGGUUUCUGCUAAAGGAACCUUUUGUCGGUCCUAGAAACACCGAUGAAUAAGGGGUGGGCAAGUUCUGGUGUCAGCCGCCGCGGUAAAACCAGCACCUCAAGUGGUCAGGAUGAUUAUUGGGCCUAAAGCAUCCGUAGCCGGCUCUGUAAGUUUUCGGUUAAAUCUGUACGCUCAACGUACAGGCUGCCGGGAAUACUGCAGAGCUAGGGAGUGGGAGAGGUAGACGGUACUCGGUAGGAAGGGGUAAAAUCCUUUGAUCUAUUGAUGACCACCUGUGGCGAAGGCGGUCUACCAGAACACGUCCGACGGUGAGGGAUGAAAGCUGGGGGAGCAAACCGGAUUAGAUACCCCCGUAGUC